rnacentral:rRNA from 1 species
AUGGCAAAAUACUGGUGGGGAAGCUCCAUUGAUAAACGAUCUCUCCACUGGCUAUCUUGGGCAAAUCUUGUGAAACCAAAAGUGAAGGGCGGCAUGGGAUUCCGAGACUUACACCUCUUCAAUCUGGCAAUGCUCGGGAAACAUGGCUGGCGCCUUCUGACUAGGCCGGACUCUCUUUGUGCUAGGGUGCUGAAGGGGAAAUAUUUCCCUCACACAGACUUUCUCAAUGCCACAGCCCCGGCAAGAUCGUAGGCGACAUGGAAAGCCAUCAUUUCGGGGAGGGAUGCCCUGAAUGUUGGCCUCAUUCAUCGAGUGGGUGAUGGUACCUCCAUCGCCACUUGGACGGACAGCUGGAUACCCAACACGCCCACUCUAAAACCCAGGGGACGCUUGGGAUCGGCGCCACUACUCACGGUUUCUGAGCUCAUAGACGAGUAUACGGGAAACUGGAAUGAAUAG